rnacentral:rRNA from 1 species
CCUACGGGUGGCAGCAGUCGAGAAUCAUUCACAAUGGGGGAAACCCUGAUGGUGCGACGCCGCGUGGGGGAAUGAAGGUCUUCGGAUUGUAAACCCCUGUCAUGUGGGAGCAAAUUAAAAAGAUAGUACCACAAGAGGAAGAGACGGCUAACUCUGUGCCAGCAGCCGCGGGAAUACAGAGGUCUCAAGCGUUGUUCGGAAUCACUGGGCGUAAAGCGUGCGUAGGCGGUUUCGUAAGUCGUGUGUGAAAGGCGCGGGCUCAACCCGCGGACGGCACAUGAUACUGCGAGACUAGAGUAAUGGAGGGGGAACCGGAAUUCUCGGUGUAGCAGUGAAAUGCGUAGAUAUCGAGAGGAACACUCGUGGCGAAGGCGGGUUCCUGGACAUUAACUGACGCUGAGGCACGAAGGCCAGGGGAGCGAAAGGGAUUAGAUACCCCUGUAGUC